rnacentral:rRNA from 1 species
CUACGGGGGGCUCCAGUGAGGAAUAUUGCACAAUGGGGGGAACCCUGAUGCAGCAACGCCGCGUGGAGGAUGACGCAUUUCGGUGUGUAAACUCCUUUUAUAUGUCAAGAAAAUGACGGUAGCAUAUGAAUAAGCACCGGCUAACUCCGUGCCAGCAGCCGCGGUAAUACGGAGGGUGCAAGCGUUACUCGGAAUCACUGGGCGUAAAGGACGCGUAGGCGGGUUGGAAAGUCAGGUGUGAAAUCCUACAGCUUAACUGUAGAACUGCACUUGAAACUUCUAAUCUAGAGUAUGGGAGGGGAAAUGGAAUUAGUGGUGUAGGGGUAAAAUCCGUAGAUAUCACUAGGAAUACCUAAAGCGAAGGCGAUCUCCUGGAACAUUACUGACGCUAAGGCGUGAAAGCGUGGGGAGCAAACAGGAUUAGAUACCCCUGUAGUC